UACGUAGGGUGCAAGCGUUGUCCGGAAUUAUUGGGCGUAAAGAGCGUGUAGGCGGCCCGACCAGUCCGCUGUGAAAGUCCAGGGCUCAACCCUGGAAUGCCGGUGGAUACUGUCGGGCUAGAGUCCGGAAUGGGCGAGUGGAAUUCCUGGUGUAGCUGUGAAAUGCGCAGAUAUCAGGAGGAACACCAAUGGCGAAGGCAGCUCGCUGGGACGUGACUGACGCUGAGACGCGAAAGCGUGGGGAGCAAACAGG
rnacentral:rRNA from 1 species